GCUGGGUGUGGUGGUGCACACCUGUAAUCCCAGCUACUCGGGAGGCUGAGGCAGGAGAAUCGCUUGAACCUGGGAGGUGGAGGUUGCAGUGAGUCGAGAUCACACCACUGCACUCCACCCUGGGCAACAGAGCGAGACUUUGUCUCAA
rnacentral:SRP_RNA from 2 species